rnacentral:tRNA from 1 species
GGAGAAAUGGCAGAGUGGUUGAUUGCGACGGUUUCGAAAAUCGUAUUAGCUUAGCUAACGAGGGUUCGAAUCCCUCUCUCUCCG